rnacentral:rRNA from 1 species
GAGUGAAAAAGAACCUGAAACCGUGUACGUACAAGCAGUGGGAGCACAGGUUUACCUGUGUGACUGCGUACCUUUUGUAUAAUGGGUCAGCGACUUAUAUUCUGUAGCAAGGUUAACCGCAUAGGGGAGCCGGAGGGAAACCGAGUCUUAAUUGGGCGUUAAGUUGCAGGGUAUAGACCCGAAACCCGGUGAUCUAGCCAUGGGCAGGUUGAAGGUUGGGUAACACUAACUGGAGGACCGAACCGACUAAUGUUGAAAAAUUAGCGGAUGACCUGUGGCUGGGGGUGAAAGGCCAAUCAAACCGGGAGAUAGCUGGUUCUCCCCGAAAGCUAUUUAGGUAGCGCCUCGUGAAUUCAUCUCCGGGGGUAGAGCACUGUUUCGGCUAGGGGGCCAUCCCGGCUUACCAACCCGAUGCAAACUGCGAAUACCGGAGAAUGUUAUCACGGGAGACACACGGCGGGUGCUAACGUCCGUCGUGAAGAGGGAAACAACCCAGACCGCCAGCUAAGGUCCCAAAGUCAUGGUUAAGUGGGAAACGAUGUGGGAAGGCCCAGACAGCCAGGAUGUUGGCUUAGAAGCAGCCAUCAUUUAAAGAAAGCGUAAUAGCUCACUGGUCGAGUCGGCCUGCGCGGAAGAUGUAACGGGGCUAAACCAU